rnacentral:rRNA from 1 species
GCCGUGGACCGUGUGGGAGUGAGAAUGCAGACAUGAGUAGCGAGAGACGGGUGAGGAUCCCGUCCGCUGGAUGACCAAGGGUUCCGGGGCCACGUUCGUCGUCCCCGGGUGAGUCGGGUCCUAAGGCGAGGCCGACAGGCGUAGUCGAAUGGAUGAACGGGUGGAUAUUCCCGUACCGACCAUGGACCGGCAAAACCGAGACGGUGAGUACUAACCUCCGCCUCGUGGUGGUUCCUUCCUUCGGGUUGGUUCCGUCGCGUGGUGUUGGGACUGUAGCCGCAGUAGGUCAGCGCAGGGGUGACACGGAAUGGGAGCCGGCCGCGGAGGUGGUUUUCCGUGGUCAAGCACGCAGCCAGUCAUGUAGGCAAAUCCGCAUGGCAUGCAUGGCGAGGUGUGAUGAUGGGAACCGUUAUGGUUCGAUAUCCGGUUGUCCAGGCCGUCGAGAAAAGCCUCGGCGUGAGGGCCAUGGCCGCCCGUACCCCAAACCGACACUGGUGGUCAGGUAGAGAAUACCAAGGCGAUCGAGCGAAUCCUGGUCAAGGAACUCGGCAAAUCACUCCCGUGCCUUCGGUAUAAGGGAGACCCACUGGGGUGAAGGACCUUGCGUCCGGAGCUUUGGUGGGUGGCACAGACCAGGGGGUAGCGACUGUUUACCAAAAACACAGGUGCAUGCGAAGGCGAAAGCCGCUGUAUAUGCACUGACGCCUGCCCGGUGCCGGAAGGUUAAGAGGAUCCGUCAAUCCCUUCGGGGACGAAGCGGUGAAUUCAAGCCCCGGUAAACGGCGGUGGUAACUAUAACCAUCCUAAGGUAGCGAAAUUCCUUGUCGGGUAAGUUCCGACCUGCACGAAUGGCGUAACGACUUCCCCACUGUCUCGACCAGGAGCUCGGCGAAAUUGCAGUACGAGUAAAGAUGCUCGUUAAGCGCAGAAGGACGAAAAGACCCCGGGACCUUUACUAUACCUUGGUAUUGGCGUUAGGCGCGGAUUGUGUAGCAUAGGCGGGAGGCUUUGAAACGGUGGCGCCAGCCAUCGCGGAGCCGCAAGGUGAAAUACCGCUCUGUUCUCGUUUGACGUCUAACCUCGACAAGUCAUCCUUGUCAGGGACAGUGCCUGGCGGGUAGUUCAACUGGGGCGGUUGCCUCCCAAAGAGUAACGGAGGCGCUCAAAGGUCCGCUCAGCCCGGUUGGCAAUCGGGUGUCGAGUGUAAUCGCACAAGCGGGCUUGACUGCGAGGACGACGGUCCGAGCAGGGACGAAAGUCGGAGAUAGUGAUCCGGUGCCGGCGCACGGGCGCGGCAUCGCUCAACGGAUAAAAGGUACCCCGGGGAUAACAGGCUGAUCAUUCCCAAGAGUCCAUAUCGACGGGAUGGUUUGGCACCUCGAUGUCGGCUCGUCGCAUCCUGGGGC